rnacentral:rRNA from 1 species
GACGAACGCUGGCGGCGUGCUUAACACAUGCAAGUCGAACGGAGAGUCCCUGCUUUGGUGGGGUGCUCGAGUGGCGAACGGGUGAGUAACACGUAAGUAACCUGCCCUUGACUUUGGACUACCUUCAGGAAACUGGGGCACAUACCGAAUCGGUGCCCCUGCUGCAUGGUGGGGGUUGGAAAGUUUCGCCGGAUGGGGAUGGACUCGCGGCUUAUCAGCUUGUUGGUGGGGUAGUGGCUUACCAAGGCGUUGACGGGUAGCCGGCCUGAGAGGGUGACCGGCCACAUUGAGACUGAGAUACGGCCCAGACUCAUACGGGAGGCAGCAGUGGGGAAUAUGGCACAAUGGGCGGAAGCCUGAUGCAGCAACGGCGCGGGCGGGAGGACGGAGUUCGGUUUGUAAACCGCUUGCGCCUGUGACGAAGCGUGAGUGACGGUAAUGGGUAAAGAAGCACCGGCUAACUACGUG